AGAGCGAACGCUGGCGGCAGGCCUAACACAUGCAAGUCGAACGGAUCCUUCGGGAUUAGUGGCGGACGGGUGAGUAACACGUGGGAACGUGCCCUUUGGUUCGGAACAACUCAGGGAAACUUGAGCUAAUACCGGAUAAGCCUUUCGAGGGAAAGAUUUAUCGCCAUUGGAGCGGCCCGCGUAGGAUUAGCUAGUUGGUGAGGUAAAGCUCACCAAGGCGACGAUCCUUAGCUGGUCUGAGAGGAUGAUCAGCCACAUUGGGACUGAGACCACGGCCCAAACUCCGUACGGGAGGCAGCA
rnacentral:rRNA from 1 species